AUGGCUUAAGAUUUUUAAAAAAUAUUUAUCCUUUGUACCAGGCAGGCUGACCCUGACCUGAAGUAAAUUCCCAGGAGAGUUUUUUCCCUGGGUUUUGCAUUUGCAGUAAUAGGUGUGAACAUUCUAGCAGCAGUUUGAUGAUCAAGUAUGAUACUGCAAACAGGA